rnacentral:tRNA from 1 species
GGAAGUGUGCCCGAGAAAAGGGACUAUUUUGAUGAGAUAAGCACAGAGACAUUAACCUCUCACCUCCA